UACGUAGGUGGCAAGCGUUGUCCGGAUUUACUGGGCGUAAAGAGCGCGCAGGCGGUCGUUCAAGUCGCGUGUGAAAGCCCCCGGCUCAACCGGGGAGGGUCACGCGAUACUGAUCGACUCGAAGGCAGGAGAGGGUAGUGGAAUUCCCGGUGUAGUGGUGAAAUGCGUAGAUAUCGGGAGGAACACCAGUGGCGAAGGCGACUGACUGGACAAGUAUUGACGCUGAGGUACGAAAGCGUGGGGAGCAAACAGG
rnacentral:rRNA from 1 species